CAUGCAAAGUCGAGCGCGGGAAGCCGGCGGACUCCUUCGGGAGGAAACCGGUGGAACGAGCGGCGGACGGGUGAGUAACACGUGGGCAACCUGCCGGACUGAUGGGAAUAACCCCGGGAAACCGGGGCUAAUGCCCAAUACGCCCUGACCUCGCCUGAGGUCAGCGGCAAAGCAGGGAUCUUCGGAUCCUUGCACAGUCCGAUGGGCCCGCGGCGCAUUAGCUAGUUGGAGAGGUAAGGGCUCCCCAAGGCGACGAUGCGUAGCCGACCUGAGAGGGUGAUCGGCCACACUGGGACUGAGACACGGCCCAGACUCCUACGGGAGGCAGCAGUAGGGAAUCAUCCGCAAUGGGCGAAAGCCUGACGGUGCAACGCCGCGUGAGUGAUGAAGGUUUUCGGAUCGUAAAGCUCUGUUGACAGGGAAGAACCCACGCCAGUCGAACAGGCUGGCGUGCUGACGGUACCUGUCCAGAAAGCCCCGGCUAACUACGUGCCAGCAGCCGCGGUAAUACGUAGGGGGCAAGCGUUGUCCGGAAUUAUUGGGCGUAAAGGGCACGCAGGCGGUUUCGUCAGUCCGAUGUGACAGGCCACGGCUCAACCGUGGAAGGCCAUUGGAAACUGCGAAACUUGAGGACAGAAGAGGAGAGUGGAAUUCCACGUGUAGCGGUGAAAU
rnacentral:rRNA from 1 species